rnacentral:rRNA from 1 species
UACAGAGGGGGCGAGCGUUGUUCGGAAUUACUGGGCGUAAAGCGCGUGUAGGCGGCUUGGCAAGUCGGAUGUGAAAGCCCAGGGCUCAACCCUGGAAGUGCACUCGAAACUGCCGAGCUGGAGUCCCGGAGAGGAAGGCGGAAUUCUCGGUGUAGAGGUGAAAUUCGUAGAUAUCGAGAGGAACACCUGUGGCGAAGGCGGCCUUCUGGACGGUGACUGACGCUGAGACGCGAAAGCGUGGGGAGCAAACAGG